AGAGUGACUUCUAUUCAUGCCCUUCUACAUUUGAAGAAUUGCAAGUUUAGAACAUUUCAAGCCAUUAAAUCAAGUGCCAUUAGACUAUUGUUGUGAAAUGAUGGUCUAUCUCUCUUUUCUGUAGACUAUUGAAAAUUGUCACAUUUCAGGAUCAUUAGAUUAAUUCUUGGAGGAAUUAUUUAUUAUAAAUGCUUCUGAAGAGUUAGGCAAUAGGCAACUAUAAAUAUAAAGAAAGGUUCCACAGACAAUUUAUCUCUGUCCACACGUGUGUCCCCAAUGUUGCUUUUGUUAUUACAAACAUUUUUUGAACUUGAAUUACAUUCUUAUCAUCUGCAUUUUCUAGAAAGAAUGUUCAGUUUUUAUUUCUUAGCCUUGUCCUCUUGCAGGUAUCAUUAUUGG
rnacentral:misc_RNA from 1 species